UCCAGACUCCUACGGGAGGCAGCAGUGAGGAAUAUUGGUCAAUGGCCGGAAGGCUGAACCAGCCAAGCCGCGUGAAGGACGAAGGUGCCAAGCAUUGUAAACUUCUUUUGUCAAGGGACAAAAUCAGGCUCGAGAGCCUGACCGAGGGUACUUGAAGAAAAAGCAUCGGCUAACUCCGUGCCAGCAGCCGCGGUAAUACGGAGGAUGCGAGCGUUAUCCGGAUUUAUUGGGUUUAAAGGGUGCGUAGGCGGACGCUUAAGUCAGCGGUAAAAUGGGGGGGCUCAACCUCGUCGAGCCGUUGAAACUGGGUGCCUUGAGUGGGCGAGAAGUACGCGGAAUGCGUGGUGUAGCGGUGAAAUGCAUAGAUAUCACGCAGAACUCCGAUUGCGAAGGCAGCAUGCCGGCUCCACACUGACGCUGAGGCACGAAAGCGUGGGUAUCGAACAGGAUUAGAUACCCGAGUA
rnacentral:rRNA from 1 species